rnacentral:rRNA from 1 species
AGACAGGUGGUGCAUGGUUGUCGUCAGCUCGUGUCGUGAGAUGUUGGGUUAAGUCCCGCAACGAGCGCAACCCUUAUAUUUAGUUGCCAGCACUUCGGGUGGGCACUCUAGAUAGACUGCCGGUGACAAACCGGAGGAAGGUGGGGAUGACGUCAAAUCAUCAUGCCCCUUAUGACCUGGGCUACACACGUACUACAAUGGCCGGUACAACGGGCUGCGAAAUCGCGAGAUGGAGCCAAUCCCAACAAAGCCGGUCUCAGUUCGGAUUGCAGGCUGCAACUCGCCUGCAUGAAGUCGGAAUUGCUAGUAAUCGCGGAUCAGCAUGCCGCGGUGAAUACGUUCCCGGGUCUUGUACACACCGCCCGUCACACCACGAGAGUUUAUAACACCCGAAGUCGGUGGGGUAACCGCAAGGAGCCAGCCGCCGAAGGUGGGAUAGAUGAUUGGGGUGAAGUCG